UUUACAAAGCAACAGAUUCCCACCGCUUGUUUCGACAAAUGUGAAAUGUUGAAGCAUAAUUGCAGAAAGCGAUAUGCUCUUGGGCCAUUUUUCUUUUAGCAAGACAAAAUUUGACAAAUGUUAAAUGCUCAAGCAUACCUGCAGAAAACUAAACGCUCUUGGGCCAUUUUCUUUUACCAAUAAUUUUUUUCACAAACUUAAUCUCAAUUGGCAGUUUGGGUGGAAGGUAGAAAUCUGGAAGAGCAAAAGAAAUCGGAAUGGAAGCAAGGACUUUAAUUUUGGUGGGGCGUACUGGCAAUGGUAAGAGUUCAACUGGAAAUUCAAUCCUUGGGCGCAAUGUUUUUAAAGUAGGGUUCAGCUUUACAUCUGUUACAAAGGAGUGUCAACUGGAGCAAACUACUUGGAAAGAUGGCCGAAUCGUAAAUGUGAUUGACACUCCUGUAGAGAUGGCUCUUCAUCAAAUU